rnacentral:tRNA from 2 species
GGGGAUAUGGCGAAAUUGGUAGACGCUACGGACUUGAAAAUCCGUUGGCUUUAUUGACCGUGAGGGUUCAAGUCCCUCUACCCCCA